UGUGUUUCAUCUGGGAGUCUCUAACAGAGAUGCCAAGAUACUUUGUCACUAGAACUGUGUGAAACACCUGAGUUCACAAGGACUGAAGGAAAACAGUCACAGACUAACAGGCACACAACUGCCCUGGCUUUGCUGACUUUGAAAUCUGUGGCUAAAAGAGGAGGGACAUCAAGAGGGACAAACAGAAAAGACCUGUGGCUUCCACCAAGGACCUCUGAGCCCAUUUCAGUUUCUUGCAUGUUCAAGAAAAAGGAUGAAGAAUGGCCAGUGCCUGGAUUUGAAAAUGAUGUGAGGAGCAGGAGCUCUGAACAGCCUGAUGCCACCUCCUCCUGCCACGCUGGGAAGCUCAGUAGGUCCCACUCCAGAGAUUUGUUUGACACCACUGCAGCUGCAAGCCACAGAGGCACUUUGGCUGAAGUCCUCGUGGUUUAAAGGAGAGAACAGUGGAUAGAUCUCCUCAGCAGGAGCAGGACUGAAUGAUCCCUGUCCACUCCAGCCUGGGGACAGUGCAGGAGGCAGGAAUCUGAACUGCCUGAUGCUUGAGAAGAGUCAUCUUUGAGCUGGCCUGCUGCCCACCUGCUUUAUUCCAGAUGUGGCCAUGGAAAGUCCCUAAGGAAAGCAACCACAGGGAAGAAAGUCUUGCUGGCUUAAUACCUAAAAACAAAAGCAAAAGCAAGGUGAAUUCGUGGACCUCCCUCCUGCAAGAUGCUGUCAGGACAAGCUGGGAAGUUGGAUGUCUGAGACAGAUCAAGAUGAUUUUCCAACCACCAGCACGCAAGUAAACACACGAUGUAAUUUGCAAGCAAGGGAAAGCAAGCCAAAAAUCACAUUUCAAGAUAUAAAUGAUGCUUGAGCAGAAUUAUGUAAAACUCUGUCUCCUCUGACAGCAGCCCUGAGCAUGGACGAUGCAGUUGGUGGGGUGGCACUGCCAAGCUUGCACAUGCCAAGCAUGAGCUCAGGCAGGUGAGCUGGUCUGCUG